rnacentral:lncRNA from 1 species
AUGAUUCUUCUCCCUAUUCCCAUUUCAGCCUGUAGAGCUGUCCAGCUCCUAUGCUUCGAGCAGUUGGGCCAUUCGCUGGAGGACCACACCAAGGACUUUAUCGAUCUGGCAUGUCUUACCCACUUCCCAGACCGCUCACUCUGUGUUUUUUAUUACACCGGGCUGAGUGAGCGGUGUAAGGCAUCGCAAUGGAGCCUGAGCCUCCAGCAUUGUACCAGCAAACGGUCCCAAAGAGGAUUUCAGGCCAGCAAACGGUCCCAAAGAGGAUUUCAGCGCUUUCGUGGAGUGGGUGCUGGAGAAUGGCUUCGCCUCAUCACUACAUCCCUCCGGCUCUGUCAGGUUCCUCCGGCUCCACCUCCAUGCUCAGUUGCUCCGGCUCCACAGCGGUCUUCCGGAGCCCCGCCUCUGCCUCAGUUGCCUGUGCCUUCAGCGCCGCCUUGGCCCUCUGGAUCCUCUGUGUCACCCUGGCUCUCCGUCUGCUCAGCUCCAUACUGGGAUCCUCAUCCAUCAGUGCAGUCUCCGUCAGUUGGCCCCCUGGUGUUGUCGGCUCUUACUCCACCAUGGCUCCUCCCGCCGUCGACUCCACCGUGGGCCACCAUCCUGGCUGGCCUCUGGAGUUCCAUCUGGCUCCUCCUGCUCCAGGCUCCUCCCUGGCUCCUCCAUCCACUCCUCCCUGGUACUAUGGUCUAUGCUCCCUCUCCAUUGCCUGCCCCACACCCGCCUCCUGAACCCCACCCUCCCUCCUCUGGACUAUUUCUGUCAGUGCGGGGAUGCACCGUUCUGGGAGGGGGCGAACUGUCACAAUUAUGGACAUCUGUUCUUACUGUGUUUCCUUAUUUGGUCAUGUUCCUUUUCUUGUUUAAUUAAUUACCCCCACACCUGUUUCUGUUUCCAACUGAUUACGUUCAUUAUUUAAAGUCUGUGUUCUCCUUUAUUCCUUUGUCCGCUAUAGAUGUUUGAUUUGGAUUUGUGUUUGGUUGUGCCCUUUCUCUCCUGUGGAUAAUUAAAAGAACUAUUUUGAUAUCUCCUUUGUGCGCUUUGAUUUACACACCAACACGUGUGACAAUGUUAUUCGAUAUUACAUUUCAAGUUACUGUUUUAAAUGUACUAAACUGCUUUGCUUGCUUAACGUCAUCAUUACAAAUGUGUAAUACAAAAUAGUUUCAAUAGAAAUUUUAAUUUACCAUAAAUGCUUUUCAGUACAAUUGGCAGUACACUUAUAUUUGCAUUUCAAAGACAAUUGUGUUGUUCAUUUAUAUAAAAAGAUGUACUUAAGUACACACUAAAUUCUAGCUUACUGCAGUUAUAUAAAUAUAAAAUAUAAUUUUCAUUUAAUUGCAAUUAACAUGCAAUUAGGUGUCUGAAACAUUACAUUCAGUUUGCACUUAAGUAUAUUCUUUUAAAAUAUAUAAUUUCUGUAAUUA